CUUAUUUUGCGGGAAGUUCGCACGCGAGUGGGAAGGUGCCCCAGAAGAAGCUCAGGGAGCUCCAGGGAGGGAUGGCUUGCCAUAGUCGAGAUAUCCAGUCUUGGUCAGACUUUACUGCAGUAUUGGAUGCAGAUGUGAUUUCUUUACUUGGACUAGAUGACAGUCAACAAAAAGGAAGUGAUUCAACAGAACAACUACAAAGCAAGAACGACUUUUGCGACAACCUCAGAGUUGACAACAUAGCAGACCAACCUCUUCAC